UUUAAAGCUACUAUUGGGCCAUUGAUCAUGUUCGAAUAUUAAAUGGCUGUGAUUUCUGGUUCCGGAGAUAUAAUGGAAUAAGUGACGCAACCGACAAAACGCGUUAUUUUCUGUCGUGAAUACUUACUCAACUUACAUUACUAUGGAGAGCCUUUUCAAAAUUUACCUUGUACAAGAAUGGGUAGAAUGUACAUGUACAAGAAUGGGUGCUUUACCCAACAACAUAUUCUUUUCUUAUUGCUUUCAGAAAUAUGAUCAGCCAUUUAUUAUAAAAUUUUCGGUAGUAUGAAAUAACUACGCAUAACUCAUAAUUAUUAAAGAGAAAAACUCAUGACGCUUAUUUGUCUCUCUCGAACACAGACGACGGUGAGUGACAUUGCAUUUUCGGGUUACCAACUGAGUAGAAGAGAUGGUCGGAUAAGCAUUUCUUUUAAACCCGAGCUCACCCUUUAGAUAAUUCCUAGUACACUGAGGUCUCUUUUUACGCGGGGGAUACGAACCGCGUAGAAAAACCGCGCAAAAAAAUAGCGUAACUUCGGAAAUUUGCGUAGAAAAAGGCGUAGCUUCGGAAAUCCGCGUAAAAAAAAAAACAAAGCUAAAGAAUUUUUUUUCUUGAUGUCAAUUUUCUUAGAAAUGCAUGAAACGUCUAGAUCUGGUGUAAUCUGAACAUUUUUUUUUUUGAAAAAGAUCGAAGAUUUUCCAAGUGUCAAAGAGUUGACUUAAAAAAAAUUUGGGAUAGCACCAGUGUUACACAUUUGAAAUUAUGCCGACAAAAAUAGAAAAAUUAUUCUCGAAGUGCCGAUUCAAAGUCAUCUAACGCUUGACGCAAAUUUCCAACUUCCUUUUAUCAUCGUCAUCCAAUCGUCCGAUAGACACAUAUUGAUGAUAAUAGAGUGGUCUCUCUCAUGCACACUCCCCGACCUUACACACGAUUAAAACCGAGAUGUAUUCAUAUCCACUUCAUUGUGGUUCGAACAAAGCCUUCGAACGGUUCGCGAUCAAGUGCCGGUGAACAGAGGCACUAAACGUGUCGAGUGCGGUUAGACAAAUUCCAAGCGAGAAACAAAUCCAAGCACACGCUACAUGAACUUAGACGGUGCAUGAAAACAGGUAAAGCCACUGGAAUACUCGCCUUUCACAGAUAAUAAGUGAAUCAUUCUCAAAAAAUGAAAAUCACGUGUGCGUCAACACUCACACGAUCCUAACCAUUUCGAUGUUCAUUGGGCAUAAAACGAAGUGAUACCUCGUGGCAAGACAGUGAACAGUUUCUUUCAUGUGCAUCAGAUCAAGAUAGUGACGUGAAGCAAACACAAGGCUCAAAUCAGAGCCUUUUAUGUUAGCCCGCUUCUGUUAAACCUGCGCUAGUCCGUUCUAUAGAAGCCAGUGUGCGUGAACCGUGCACCGAGAGACCAAGCUGUGAUCGCUCUGCUCAACAAGCAAAUUGUUCAACACACAAAACGGUACGAAGAUCCAAACACGGCGUAGCUGAAUCAACGGUACAAUCUCCAGGAUCGCAUGCAUCGGAGGCGCGAGACGGCUCGGAACAAAUGCAUCUGAAGUGACAAACGGGAAUGCAGAGUCAUCAGUAGGAGAGGAUCGACCCCGACGUGCUACAUCCAGCGGUGAUUAAUAAGUGUAGGAACGUGAGGCCGGUGUACAUGAAUCAAUAGAAUGAUAGUUAACAGGAAUGGAUUUUGAUAGUUUUAAGCAGCAUGUCUCGCAUUAGUUAAGUAAGCGCAUUGCAUGAUUAGAUAGGUUUUGGUGAGUCUUUAUGAAUUGUUG